rnacentral:rRNA from 1 species
GACGCUGGCGGCAGCCUCAUACAUGCAAGUCGAGCGAGAACGUUACUUCGGUAGCUAGUAAAGCGGCGGACGGGUGAGUAACGCGUAGGAAUCUACCUUUCAGCGGGGGAUAGCUCGGGGAAACCCGAAUUAAUACCGCAUACACCCUAAGGGGGAAAGAGGGCCUAUCCUUGGAAGCUCUCGCUGUUAGAUGAGCCUGCGUGAGAUUAGUUUGUUGGUGGGGUAAUGGCCUACCAAGACUACGAUCUCUAGCUGGUCUGAGAGGACGAUCAGCCACACUGGGACUGAGACACGGCCCAGACUCCUACGGGAGGCAGCAGUAGGGAAUAUUGGACAAUGGGGGCAACCCUGAUCCAGCUAUGCCGCGUGUGUGAAGAAGGCUCUAGGGUUGUAAAGCACUUUAGGUAAGGACGAAAAGAAUAUAGUUAAUACCUAUAUUCCGUGACUUAACUUACAGAAUAAGGACCGGCUAACUCCGUGCCAGCAGCCGCGGUAAUACGGAGGGUCCAAGCGUUAAUCGGAAUUACUGGGCGUAAAGCGCGCGUAGGCGGUUUGUCAAGUUGGAUGUGAAAUCCCUGGGCUCAACCUAGGAACUGCAUUCAAAACUUAUAGACUAGAGUACGAUAGAGGAGAGUAGAAUUCCUGGUGUAGCGGUGAAAUGCGUAGAUAUCAGGAGGAAUACCAAUGGCGAAGGCAACUCUCUGGAUCGACACUGACGCUGAGGUGCGAAAGCGUGGGUAGCAAACAGGAUUAGAUACCCUGGUAGUCCACGCCGUAAACGAUGAGAACUAGCCGUUGGAUCUUAGAUUCAGUGGUACAGCUAACGCAUUAAGUUCUCCGCCUGGGGAGUACGGCC